AUUGAACGCUGGCGGCAGGCCUAACACAUGCAAGUCGAGCGGCAGCGCGGGGGCAACCCUGGCGGCGAGCGGCGAACGGGUGAGUAAUACAUGGGAAUCUGCCUGGUAGUGGGGGAUAACUCUGGGAAACUAGAGGUAAUACCGCAUACGUCCUACGGGAGAAAGGGGGGGAUCUUCGGACCUCUCGCUAUCAGAGGAGCCCAUGUCCGAUUAGCUAGUUGGUGAGGUAAAGGCUCACCAAGGCGACGAUCGGUAACUGGUCUGAGAGGAUGGUCAGUCACACUGGAACUGAGACACGGUCCAGACUCCUACGGGAGGCAGCAGUGGGGAAUAUUGGACAAUGGGGGGCAACCCUGAUCCAGCCAUGCCGCGUGUGUGAAGAAGGCCUUCGGGUU
rnacentral:rRNA from 1 species